UCUGGCGCGGUUCAGUACCUCAUCUAGUCUGGGUUCCAGUAUCUAAUUUUUUUUUUACUGACAAACUCAUUUCUCUACCGGGACAGGAUGCUGUGCUGGCUGGGAGUUCCAUUUCUACAGCAAGAAUCCUAUCUGGAAACAGAGAAGUUGUCCUCUAAGCCACAGCAGCUCGAACUUUUUUGAUUGUUGUUGCUGCUUUCUCCCAUCACCCCCACCCCCUUUUGACAAAGAUCCAACUGUAAAAAGUCUUACGUAACAGUUCAGGACUACUUCGGUUCUUUUACUGGUAUAUCAAGAGGCCUCAAGAGGACUAUGAAAACAUUUACAUCUCCAACUCAGAGCAAUGUGGGUUUCACAAUAUUUCGUAGUACCUCUGGAAAAGGAAAGAAAGGAGACUUCUGCACUGAGUACAUACAUCUCUUGGCCAAACUCACUGAAAAGAUCCAAUGCGUGCCUUAAAUUUGCUUGAUGAUAAAAACUAAACUUAAGGAUUUAAAGCAAAUUGAAGGAAUGAAGAUAACGAAGGCCUUUAUUGCCCUGAAAAUUAACUGUCUCAAACACAAUGGGAAACACCCCUACGUCACUUUAGAAACCUUUCACUCUUCUCUAGUUUUGCAAGUCUACGAAAAGCAUUCUUUUUAGAAUGCCAUGAAUUUAAGAAAUCGUAUUUUGUAAACAUCUAAUGGUUUGGGGGAGCAGAGGUCAGUAUUUUUUUAAAGCCUGACUAUUAUCAAAAUGGAAUAAGACAUUGACUUCUCUUCAUAUUAUCAGGCCAAGGAGAAGACCAUUUAAAAUAAACCCAUUAAAGAGUUUUUAAAAUACCACACAGUAA